CUGGGAGUCGCCAGCAGUGUCCUCUGCAGUGAGACAGGGAGUUUCUAGGGAGAUGAGUAAGGGAGCAGAAAGCAGGGGAGACGAGGCACCCAUGAGACCUGGGUCGUCUUUGAGUUCUCAUUUCUUGUCCUCAAUUCCAUGACAACCCCAGGAUGCUUACAAGGAAUUCCUUUGUUAUAAGCUGAGUACUGCAUUCUGUUCUGGAUGCUUGGGCUGUGAAUUAUGUUCUAUGCAUGGUUCUGGGUUAUAGUAAGAAUGAGAUUUAUAAAGACAGAGGGAGACUAAGACAGCCAUUCUCAGGUCACCAUGGUCAGAAGGAUGGGUGAGCCUCUAUUUGUUCCGGACUUCGAGGCCAGCCUGGUCUACAGAGGGAGUUCCAGGGUAGCUAGGGCUUACACAGAGAAAUCCUGUCUAGAAAACAAACAAGUAAACAGAAGAGAGAAAGAAAAAAAGAAAGAAAGAAAGAAAGAAAGAAAGAAAAAAAAAUAGAGAGAAAGAGAAGAGGAAGAGAGGAAGAGGAGGAGGAAAACAGAACAAAAUGGGGAAAAUGAGUGGAGGACCUGCACUCUUUUGUGUGUGUUUCCUGACUGCAAUGUGACCAGAUAAAUAAGCUACCUAGUCCCCUCUACAAGCUCACAGCUCCUCAGCGGUGAGAUCAAAGGGAAUGAGAGUUGAAAAGCCGUCCCAACCGUGAAAAGGACCAUGACCAUAGAGAGGAAUCAAAGCAAAGCAAACAUCAAACCAACCAACCCAGGAAGCAGUUGCCGGCCAGCUCUUGGAUGCUCCCCAAUAAAAAAAAAAUCAAGUUUGCUUCAAAUUUGGCUCAGAGGUUAUGGUAGUGGUCUUAUUCUGGCCUCGUGGGAUUGAAUAGGGCCGCCACAAUUGCAGGACAGAAGAAUAUUGAUUUCACAGGAAGUAGGAGAUGGCUACUCCUGCAGGAAGGAAGGGGCCCCGACCCUGCUGGCUAUGAAAACAGGAAACCAUCCAGGCUGGUCUUGAAUUUACUAUUUAGCACAAAUUGGUCUUGAUUUCAUCAUCUUCCUGCCUCU
rnacentral:lncRNA from 1 species